rnacentral:rRNA from 1 species
UACGUAGGGUGCAAGCGUUGUCCGGAAUUAUUGGGCGUAAAGAGCUCGUAGGCGGUUUGUCGCGUCGAAUGUGAAAACCCGGGGCUCAACCCCGGGCCUGCAUUCGAUACGGGCAGACUAGAGUUCGGUAGGGGAGUCUGGAAUUCCUGGUGUAGCGGUGAAAUGCGCAGAUAUCAGGAGGAACACCGGUGGCGAAGGCGGAUCUCUGGGCCAUUACUGACGCUGAGGAGCGAAAGCGUGGGGAGCGAACAGG